rnacentral:rRNA from 1 species
CCUACGGGAGGCAGCAGUGGGGAAUAUUGGGCAAUGGGCGCAAGCCUGACCCAGCAACGCCGCGUGAAGGAAGAAGGCUUUCGGGUUGUAAACUUCUUUUAUCAGGGACGAAGCAAGUGACGGUACCUGAUGAAUAAGUAACGGCUAACUACGUGCCAGCAGUCGCGGGAAUACGUAGGUGGCAAGCGUGAUCCGGAUUUUCUUGGGGUAAAGGGAGAGUAGGCGGGAGUGCAAGUCAGAGGGGAAAAUUAUGGGCUAAACCCAGGGCCUGGAGUUGAAACUGCACUGCUUGAGUGCUGGAGAAGGAGGCGGAAUGCGCGGGGGAGCGGUGAAAUGCAUAGAUAUCGAGAAGAACGCCGAUGGCGAAGGCAGGUUGCCGG